rnacentral:misc_RNA from 1 species
GAAAUGCGAUAAGUAAUGUGAAUUGCAGAAUUCAGCGAAUCAUCGAAUCUUUGAACGCACAUUGCGCCCAUUAGUAUUCUAGUGGGCAUGCCUGUUCGAGCGUCAUUUCAACCCUCAGUCUCUCUCGGGACUGGUGUUGGGGCCCUUGCCGUCGGGCAAGCCCUGAAAAACAGUGGCGGGCCCGCUGGGACUCCGAGCGCAGUAGUUUACACCUCGCUAAGGAGCGCCCGGCGGGCGACACCAGCCGUUAAAUGCGCUGGAAAACAGCACUCCAAAGGUUGACCUCGGAUCAGGUAGGAAUACCCGCUGAACUUAA